CCUCAUACGCCUCUCAGGUUCCUAAUGGGUCUUGUUUUACAGAAUUUUUCCCAAAAUUUCAAUUUUUUAUUUUAAAUUUAUAGUUUUACUCGUCAAUGAUGAUGAGAACAUAAUCAUAUGAUGAUGAUGGAGGAGGAAGGUUUCUCGGUGAUGAACGAAAAUGAUGACGAGUCCGAUUCUUUCCAUUCUCUAAAUCGUGACGACAAAUCGAGGCAUUUGUCUGAGAGAACUUCAAACCCUCAUCAUCAUUUCUUUUGUUCUUUUAUGAAACAUAAAUUAAAUCUGUUGAUUUUGGUGUUCAUAAAUUAUUUGGGCAUUAUGAUGAUUUGUUUACCGUCUGAUUUCUAUAUGACGAAUCAAUUACCUCCUACUCAUUCUGAAUGCCUGCUAAUCAUUACCCAUUUUAAGCUAAUUGAACCAUCACAGGAGAGAAACAGGGUGCAGCGAUGAUGAGAAACAGUUUUACUCUGUAAUAUGUAGAGGGGUUUUCAAGCACUUUUGAGCUGCCCCUUCAUUGCGGUUCUAGGAUGCCAUGGAAGCUUGAAAUAACAGUUCAGAUUGAAGAAGAUUGAGUAAAGAAAGUGGAUUUUCUCAUUCAAUUAAUUUAAAAGAUGAAAGUAAUUUAUCAAAGAGCUGUACAUAAUGGAUUUUCACUUUUCACUUGCCCUUUCCCCUUGAAUUUCACCUUUUAAAACUCAAUCCAAAAAGAUCACAAGUCUAAUGUUUCAUUAAAAUUAAGAACACAUCCAAACUAAACUAAGAAGAGGCAAAUUCCCCUAGGUUGUAAAGCCAAAGCUUAUGAUCAAUCAAAACCAAGGAAAAUCCUACAUCUAGUGUAUAAUUUAA